rnacentral:rRNA from 1 species
AGUUAUGUUGCUACAAACCAGAUGGGGGAUCGCUCGGCUCGGGAGCCGAUGAAGGUCGUGCCAAGCCGCGAUAUUACCUCGGGUAGGCGCAAGGAGCCGAUGAACCGAGGAUUGCCGAAUGGGACCUCCUUACCGCAAGGUAAUUCGCAUUAUGCGAAAGGGUACCUGCCGAAUUGAAGCAUCUUAGUAGGCAGAGGAAAAGAAAUCAAACGAGAUUCCGUGAGUAAAGGCGAUCGAAAACGGAACAGGGCAAGCCGAAUCCGUGCGGGUCAACCGCAUGGAGAUGUGGGGCCUGGGUCCACCCGACCGUCCAGACAUGAAGUCCCUUGGAACAGGGCGCCGUAGAGGGUGAUAGCCCCGUAGUUGAAGUGACGAGGGUGAUGCCAGAGCAAAGAGUAGGGCGGAUUGGAAAUUCCGUCUGAAGACCGGGGGCAUGAACCCCGAACCCUAAACACUCCCCGAGACCGAUAGCAAAGUAGUAGCGUGAGUGAAAGCUGAAAAGCACCCCUGACGGGAGGUGAAAAGACGUGAAACCAUCUGGUGACAGACUGUACGGGCGUGAAAGCAACGAAGCCCCAAAAGGGUGGAGCAGCGUCCGUGCGUCCGAUUCGAAAAUUGGUCCAUGGAGUUCUUGGUGUUGGCAAGGCUAAGGGGUACACCCCCGGAGCCGAAGGGAAACCGAUUGUGCGCAGUUUACGAGGCACAUGGUGCGCUCGCCAUCAGUCAGCAUCUGGAUACCCGAAACCAGCCGAUCUAUGCCUGGGCAGGGUGAAGCGCCGGGAAACUGGCGUGGAGGCCCGAAGCCGUAAUGAUGUGCAAAUCUUUGGUGUGACCUGGGUAUAGGGGUGAAAGUCCAAUCGAGACUGGAAAUAGCUGGUUCCGUCCGAAACUACUCGCAGGUAGAUCUCGGCAGAGACGGAUCGCGGGGUAGAGCACCAAUUCUGGGCUUAGGUCCCGAAAGGGAUCGGCUUGGUAUUGAACUCCGAAUCUGCGGUCGUCGUAGAAGCCGGGUAGUGAGGCAUACUGGGGUAAUCUUGUAUGUCAUCAGGAGAACAAUCCCACGAGCAGUUAAGGUCCCAAAGUGUACGCUAAGUGUCAAAGACAAAGGGUGUCCGCGGCCUGAGACAACCAGGAUGUGAGCUUAGAAGCAGCUACCGUUCAAAGAGUUCGUAACAGAUCACUGGUCAAGGUCGUGGGCCCCGAAAAUGGACGGGGCUCAAGCGUAUCACCGAUACUGUUCCCCACGGAAACGUGAUGGGGUAGGACGGCGCAUUGCGUGGGUCGAAGCAGGGCCGUGAGGUCCUGUGGACCGCGUUGUGACGAGAAUCAUGGAAAGAGUAGCAGCAAAGUGUGGUGAGAAUCCACACCGCCGAUUGUGAUAAGGGUUCCUCGACGAUGCUCGUCAGUCGAGGGUUAGUCGGUCCUAAGGUGGCCCUUAACCGGAUCCAUCGAAUGGGAAGCUGGUUAAUAUUCCAGCACCGACCCGCAACAAGGGACGCAUCCGGAUAUUUCUGGCACGGCCGUCGCCGUGUGCAAGCGUACUAAGCUGGGGAAACACCGUAAUGGUUAGAACCCGGCCAAAUCGUGACGCUUCCCCCGUACGGGGGAUCAGAAGGAUUCCAGGUGCCCGUGAAAACCGCGGUGUCGUCCGUACCGAGUACUGACACAGGUAUCACAGGCUGAGAAGGCCAAGGCGUAGCGAGUGAAUUACGGCAAGGGAACUCGGCAAAUUCGCCCCGUAACUUCGGGAUAAGGGGUGCCAGCCCAGCAGUGGGCUGGUCGCAGUGACUAGGGAGCUCCGACUGUUUAACAAAAACACAGACAACCGCAAGUGCGAAAGCAUGUGUAUGGUUGUUGAGUCCUGCCCAGUGACGGUAUCUGAAACCCGGUUCCAACCGGACGAAGGACCGUUAAACGGCGGGGGUAACUAUGACCCUCUUAAGGUAGCGUAAUACCUUGUCGCUUAAUUGGCGACUUGCAUGAAUGGCUAAACGAGAGCUCUACUGUCCCUGCCGUGAACUCGGUGAAAUUGACUUUACUGGCGCACAGUCCAGUACAUCCUAGAAGGAAGCGAAGACCCCGUUGAGCUUUACUGCAGCCUGUCGUUGUCGCACGAAACUUGUUGUGUAGGGUAGCUGGGACCCGUCGAAGUCUGGCCGCUAGGUCAGAUGGAGGGGACGAUGAAACACCAGCCUACUCGUUUCGUGCAUCUAACUCGCUUGCGAGGACACCGAUAGGUGGGCAGUUUGGGUGGGGCGCCACACGCUCGAAAAGGUAUCGAACGUGCCCAAUGGUCAGCUCAGGGAGGUCAGAAAUCUCCCGCAGACUGCAAGGGGAAAAGCUGGCUUUACACGGAUUAGCCCAACAACAAUCCGUGUUGCGAAAGCAGGGCCUAGCGAACCACUCAUUGUUUCUUCAUGAGACAGAGUGAUAUCAGAAAAGUUACCACGGGGAUAACUGAGUUGUCUCCAGCAAGAGCCCACAUCGACCUGGAGGCUUGCUACUUCGAUGUCGUCUCUCCCCAACCUGGCGGUGCAGCAGCUGCCAAGGGUGGGGUUGUUCGCCCAUUAAAGGGGAUCGUGAGAUGGGUUCAGACCGUCGUGAGACAGGUUUGUUGCUAACUUCUAGGAUCGCAGUCGCCUGAGACGAAAGGGCCCCUAGUACGAGAGGAACAGGGCCUUGCAGCCACUAGUUUACCAGUUGUCCGACAGGGCACCGCUGGGCAGCCACGCUGUAAGGGAUAAACGCUGAAAGCAUCUAAGCGUGAAACCCGCGUCGAGACGAGGCGACUUAGGACUCCCGUAGAAGACGGGUUUGAUCGGAGGGGGGUGUACGCACCGAGGCAACGAGGUGUUCAGCCCGCCCUUACGAAACGUCCAUCCUAACACUUUU